GCCAUGCGAGUCGAGAGGGUUCGGCCCUCGGCAGACUGCUCAGUAACACGUGGAUAACCUACCCUUAGGUGGAGGAUAAUCUCGGGAAACUGAGAAUAAUACUCCAUAGAUCUAGAAUGCUGGAAUGUGCCUAGAUUAAAAGUUCAGGCGCCUAAGGAUGGGUCUGCGGACUAUCAGGUUGUAGUCAGGGUAAUGACCUGACUAGCCUACGACGGAUAUGGGUUGUGAGAGCAAUAGCCCAGAGACGAUAUCUGAGACACGAUAUCAGGCCCUACGGGGCGCAGCAGGCGCGAAACCUUCACAAUGUGCGAAAGCGCGAUGAGGGAAUCCCAAGUGCUUGCACGUAAGUGUAAGCUGUUUUUUUGUCUAAAAAGCAUAGAGAGUAAGGGCUGGGUAAGACGGGUGCCAGCCGCCGCGGUAAUACCUGCAGCUCGAGUGGUGAUCGCUAUUAUUGGGCCUAAAACGUUCGUAGCCGGUCUAGUAAAUGCCUGGGUAAAUCGUGCCGCUUAACGGUACGAAUUCCGGGUAGACUGCUAGACUUGAGACUGGGAGAGGCUAGAUGUACUCCUGGGGUAGAGGUGAAAUUCUGUAAUCCUAGGGGGACGACCAGUGGCGAAGGCGUCUAGCUAGAACGGGUCUGACGGUGAGGGACGAAGCCCUGGGGCGCGAACGGGAUUAGAUACCCCGGUAGUCCAGGGUGUAAACGCUGCUUGCUUGAUGUUAGUCGGGCUCCGAGCCCGAUUAGUGUCGGAGCGAAGGUGUUAAGCAAGCUGCCUGGGAAGUACGGUCGCAAGACUGAAACUUAA
rnacentral:rRNA from 1 species